CAAACGUAAACAGUAUAAAAUUUUCAUAAUUUCAUGCGGAUGGGGCCGCAUGGGAACCGCUAGUUAUAGAUAUAAUGUCUGAAUGAAACCAUUGUCGUCGCUAGAAGCGGUAGGAGGGUAAACCUUUCUAAAAAUAUGAAAUAGUUAGAAAAAAAACUACUAAUAGCUGCCCCCGCCCCUAGACCUAACCAGUCACGAAAUGGGUUAUUAUCUCUAUUUUUUAAAUGAGGAUGUUCUUAGGACAUUAUUCACGGCCAAAGCGAUCCAAUUAUCUAAAAACCGACAUGUAAUGGAUAUUUGAACAAAUGUUUCAAAACUUGUGUUUGCUUUCUUUGUAUAUCUUUACUGAAGGACGCGGCGCUGGGGACUCAGCUAGGAUUUAGGCAGUAAAUAAAAUAAAUAAAAUCAAAUCAAGGACGGACGCCAAGUCGUUAAAAACACAACGCCUGCGUGGCGCCAAUUCAAGAACAUUUUAAAUCAAUUUAUUGCUAUAUUAUUUUACAAGGCGUUGCUUAAAGAUCACAAUAUAAUUUUAACAUAUGGAAAGCAGAAGCUUGGAAAUUCGACACAAUUAACAUUAGUAGAAUUAUCGUUGUUUAUCUAAACCUCCUUUUUGUAAACGAGUUCUUAACAUUAAACUUCAGAGGGGGUAGAAGAAAGAAGAUUUAUAAUAUGAAGAUUAAUGUUGACAAACUGAAAUGUCUUAAAUACAAUAAGAUACAGCGACUAACAACUAAAUCCCAAAAGGAGGAUAUCAAGUUUUAAGAAAAACCUAUACAGUAAUUUAAAAUGAUACAGGCAUCUUUUGUGAAAUAAGGCCUACUACUUACGAACAAUUGCAAACUUAAAACUAUUAAUUAUUUUCCUUGUGUAC